GUCAAGAUGCCGGCCGUGGUGCUCGCUUUCCUCCUGCGCAGAUUGCUGGAUAUGGAUCAAGGUAAGGCAAUUAGUGCGUCUGUCAAGUGUUUGAGGAAAUGCAUCCAUGAGAAGAAGCUAUAGAUUUUGAGUGUUAAUUAACUCCCUGUGAGAACUAUUGUCUCGUGGUGAUAUAUAUUAAUGUAGGUAGGUUGUAAAAGUAGUCACUGGUUAAUACUAG
rnacentral:lncRNA from 1 species